rnacentral:piRNA from 1 species
UGCUAAAGGCUCCACAAUCUCCUC